UACGAAGGGUGCAAGCGUUAAUCGGAAUUACUGGGCGUAAAGCGCGCGUAGGUGGUUUGGCAAGUUGGAUGUGAAAGCCCCGGGCUCAACCUGGGAAUUGCAUCCAAAACUGCUUGACUAGAGUACGGUAGAGGGUAGUGGAAUUUCCUGUGUAGCGGUGAAAUGCGUAGAUAUAGGAAGGAACACCAGUGGCGAAGGCGACUACCUGGACUGAUACUGACACUGAGGUGCGAAAGCGUGGGGAGCAAACAGGAUUAGAAACCCCGGUAGUCC
rnacentral:rRNA from 1 species